CCUACGGGAGGCAGCAGUGGGGAAUCUUGCACAAUGGAGGAAACUCUGAUGCAGCGAUGCCGCGUGAGUGAAGAAGGCCUUUGGGUUGUAAAGCUCUUUUGUAGGGGAAGAUAAUGACUGUACCCUAAGAAUAAGGUCCGGCUAACUUCGUGCCAGCAGCCGCGGUAAUGCGAAGGGACCUAGCGUAGUUCGGAAUUGCUGGGCGUAAAGCGCGCGUAGGCCGUUGAGUUAGUUAAUUGUGAAAUCCCAAAGCUUAACUUUGGAACUGCAAUUAAAACUGCUCGACUAGAGUUUGAUAGAGGAAAGCGGAAUACAUAGUGUAGAGGUGAAAUUCGUAGAUAUUAUGUAGAACACCAGUUGCGAAAGCGGCUUUCUGGAUCAACACUGACGCUGAGGCGCGAAAGUAUGGGUAGCAAAGAGGAUUAGAUACCCUCGUAGUCCAUACCAUAAACGAUGAUUGCUAGAUGUUGGAAAUUUAUUUUCAGUAUCGCAGCUAACGCAUUAAGCAAUCCGCCUGGGGAGUACGACCGCAAGGUUAAAACCUCAAAGNGAAUUGACGGUGUGAGACGUCGACCGAAGGCCACGACGGAGGGUAGAGG
rnacentral:rRNA from 1 species